GGGUAGGGUUUACAAUUGUUAUAGUUGAUUGUUUUGGCGAAGUGAUGAUAAGUUUCCUCUCAUCUAUACGACAUCCUCCAUCUCCAAACACCACAUCCACUUCGCCGGUCACCCACCCUCAUCACUUAUCAGUCGCCACCACUCACACGACCCAUCUCCGUCGCCGGUCACCCACUACCGUACUCCUUCUCCACCCUGAACCCCAAUCGCCGUCGGACACCUCUUCUGCCGCACACAGUCAUCAUCACCGGCAGGUCGCCGCCCUGAAUCACCACCCUUCUACGUCGCCGUCAUCAGGUAUGUCUCCGUCUCUUCUUUCUCUCUCUACCGAUGUUCCGAGACACCCAUCGUCCUUGCUCCUGUGACAACACAAAACCACCCACACACCCAAUUUUACCGAUUUCAUCCCUGUCGCUACCCCGAACCUUCCGAAUUCUGCAAUUUGUUUAACCUAACCAAGGAUAAAUUAGAAUUACAUCAUAGAAAUAAUGGUUAAAUAUUGGAUAUUGGAUGGUUUGCUAUACUGGUUUCAAUCUGAAACGAACAUGAUUAAGGUGAAAUUGCAUUACACUGAAUGGGUUUUGAGUUGCAUCUAAUCUGGUCAUUUAAUUUUAAUUGACUGUGGACACCUUCAGUUCAUUGAAGUAGGCUUGCGUACCACUACUCGUUUAAGGUAUGUAUCCUAUUUCACUUUGUUCAUAUGUGGCGAAUUGAAGCGAAACAGGUCCAAAUUUUUCCGGACAUGUUUGAAUACGAUUAUUUAUGUGUAUGUUUAUGUUUGCAUAAAGGAAUUGAUUUUUAUAUUUAUAGUUAUACAAGGUCCUGUUUUCUCAAUCUGUGUUGAAUCAUGAUGAUGUGUUUGUCUUGGACACUAAAGAUAAGAUCUUUCAAUUUAACGGAGCAAAUUCAAAUAUUCAAGAAAUGGCUAAGGCUUUGGAAGUUAUACAGUUCUUGAAGGAUAAAUAUCAUGAGGGGACAUGCAAUGUUGGGGACGAUGGAAAACUACAAGCCGAGGGAGACUCGAGUGAAUUUUGGGUUAUUUUUGGCGGGUUUGCUCCUAUUGGCAAAAGGGUUCUAAGUGAUGAUGAUGUCAUCCCCAAAAGGACGCCUGGCAAACUUUAUAGGGUGGAUUAAGCUCCACUUAUAAAAGCUACAUUGCGACAACCUUUCCAAUUUACAGUGUUCAGCAUAUUUCAGUUCUCAAGUCAAGACAAAUCAACCAACCACUCACCAAGCCAGUCAAGGUGGUUCAACUCCUGCUGCAACCCAUCAACCUAUAAAUUUACAAGACCCAAAUGUGAUUGUCACAAUUUUCAUCAAUCAUGGAUCGUUUUUCGGCUACCGGUGUUCCUCUGCCUCCUGCAGGUCCUGCAUUAUUCGUUCCUCCGCCGCCGCCCAAAGUUCUUCCACCUGCCGCUGAUUCUCCAGACCUGCCACCAAGCCCUAGCGGUUCCAUGGCAGCAACACCAACGCCAUCUGAAAAGAGCCAAGACGACUUGCAUGAGCCAGACCCACGUGAGUCCAAACCGGUGGCGCCUGAUGCAUCAGCACCGACUCCAACUGCUCCCCAAGGCCCACCGGUUGGUUCAGGCAUCAGACCAGUGCUUACACCAGCAACAUCAACUUCAAACCAGUUGCAUUGUUCACCGCCAAUUGUGUUGCUACUUGAUAAUACAAUGUACGUGAAUGUUGGAAGUUAAAAGGCCGAGCAGACCAUUCGUAUUUUGGAAGUUAAAAGGGUUAAAACCCUAAAUAUUUUAGGAAACGUCACUUUGUUUGGGAAGUACCCGAGCCGUCCCCAAGCAUAUGUAGAAGUCCCCAAUAUCCGGCUGCUACAAGGGGAGGGGAGCAGAAUUUUAACAACAUUUUUUUUGCACAUGUAAGAUUUAGAGAAGUGAGGAUGUACUUGACUCUAUGUGAACUCAGGAAGAUAAAAAGAUUAAAAGUUUGAGAAAUUGAAGAAGGCAGGUCGAAAGCCACCUGUUGAAGCCUUACAAAGGAUUAAAGAAGGCAUGUUCUUUUUGGCAUCUUUUUUUAUAUGUUUGGAUUCCUCUGUUAGAAAAUUGUGUGUACUAAACGGGCCUAGAUCGACUGUUUGAUGCUUAAUGGGUUGGUUAAAUGACGCCGGAUAUUUCUGGGUGAUGCUUGAUGAGUACAACCGGUCAUUUGGGUCGGGUCGGGUAUACGAUGCUAGAUCUUUCAAGUUGAUGCUUGAUGUGUAAAACUGGUCAUCUGGGGCGGUUCGGGUUCGUUAUAUGACGCUGGAUCUUUUCGGUUAGAUUUAUUAUUCUUCCGAAUUGAUUAGUUGCUCUUGAAUAUCAAAUUUGAUGUUUUAUUAUUUCAUUCAACUUUUAGGUUAAUUCAGUUGUGUAGCCAUUUUAAUCAACAUGUGGGCUUCAGCUGUGAUUUUUGGGAA